CCUACGGGGGGCAGCAGUGGGGAAUAUUGCACAAUGGGCGCAAGCCUGAUGCAGCCAUGCCGCGUGUGUGAAGAAGGCCUUCGGGUUGUAAAGCACUUUCAGCGGGGAGGAAGGCGUUAAGGUUAAUAACCUUGUCGAUUGACGUUACCCGCAGAAGAAGCACCGGCUAACUCCGUACCAGCAGCCGCGGUAAUACGGAGGGUGCAAGCGUUAAUCGGAAUUACUGGGCGUAAAGCGCACGCAGGCGGUCUGUCAAGUCGGAUGUGAAAUCCCCGGGCUCAACCUGGGAACUGCAUUCGAAACUGGCAGGCUAGAGUCUUGUAGAGGGGGGUAGAAUUCCAGGUGUAGCGGUGAAAUGCGUAGAGAUCUGGAGGAAUACCGGUGGCGAAGGCGGCCCCCUGGACAAAGACUGACGCUCAGGUGCGAAAGCGUGGGGAGCAAACAGGAUUAGAUACCCCGGUAGUC
rnacentral:rRNA from 1 species